CACGUAGGGUGCGAGCGUUGUCCGGAAUUAUUGGGCGUAAAGAGCUCGUAGGUGGUUUGUCGCGUUGUUCGUGAAAACUCACAGCUCAACUGUGGGCGUGCGGGCGAUACGGGCAGACUUGAGUACUGCAGGGGAGACUGGAAUUCCUGGUGUAGCGGUGGAAUGCGCAGAUAUCAGGAGGAACACCGGUGGCGAAGGCGGGACUCUGGGCCGAUACUGACGCUGAGGAGCGAAAGCGUGGGGAGCGAACAGG
rnacentral:rRNA from 1 species